CCUACGGGGGGCUGCAGUGGGGAAUAUUGGACAAUGGGGGCAACCCUGAUCCAGCCAUGCCGCGUGUGUGAAGAAGGCCCUCGGGUUGUAAAGCACUUUCAGUGAGGAAGAACGCCUGGUGGUUAAUACCCAUCAGGAAAGACAUCACUCACAGAAGAAGCACCGGCUAAACUCCGUGCCAGCAGCCGCGGUAAUACGGAGGGUGCGAGCGUUAAUCGGAAUUACUGGGCGUAAAGCGCGCGUAGGUGGCUUGAUAAGCCGGUUGUGAAAGCCCCGGGCUCAACCUGGGAACGGCAUCCGGAACUGUCAAGCUAGAGUGCAGGAGAGGAAGGUAGAAUUCCCGGUGUAGCGGUGAAAUGCGUAGAGAUCGGGAGGAAUACCAGUGGCGAAGGCGGCCUUCUGGACUGACACUGACACUGAGGUGCGAAAGCGUGGGUAGCAAACAGGAUUAGAUACCCUUGUAGUC
rnacentral:rRNA from 1 species